UUACAAAAUUGAAGAAAAUUCUAAUGUCUAGUGUUGCCAUAAAGAGCUUGCUUCAAGACUGCUAGCUUCCUCUCAUAACUCUGCUUUGACAACUCAGCCUUUCUGAUUGCAGAUUCUGAUUCUUUGAGAGUGCUCACAACCUCUUCAUUCUCUUUUAUCAAAGUUUCCAAAUUCUUAUUGAUGUUUAUAGAUUCAAACUCACAACGUUUCACAUUGAAUUGUAACCUAUUCCUCUUCUCAUGCAAGGCUUUUAGUUUCACCUCCAAUUCAUUGAUUUUUUU
rnacentral:lncRNA from 1 species